GACGAACGCUGGCGGCGUGCUUAACACAUGCAAGUCGAACGGAAAGGCGCUGCGUUUGUGGGGUGCUCGAGUGGCGAACGGGUGAGUAACACGCGAGUAACCUGCCCUUGACUUUGGGAUAACAUCAGGAAACAGGGGCUAAUACCGGAUAGGAGCUCUUGCUGCAUGGUGGGGGUUGGUAAGUGUCGGCGUUUGUGGAUGGACUCGCGGCUUAUCAGCUUGAUGGUGGGGUAGUGGCUUACCAAGGUUAUGACGGGUAGCCGGCAUGGGAGGUGGGCCGGCCUCAUGGCGACUACGGUACGGCCCAGACUGCUACGUGAGGCAGCAGUCGGGAGUAUUGCGCAAUGGCGGGAAGCCUGAUGCGGCGACGCCGCGUGCGGAAUGCCCUCCUUCGAGUUAUAAACCGCUUUCGACUGAGACGAACCGUGAGUGACGGUAACGGGUAAAGAAGCACCGGCUAACUACGUG
rnacentral:rRNA from 1 species